UCCGCCGGCGACCGGCGCACGGGUGCGCACCGCGUAUGGAACCUGCCUUGUACAGGGGAAUAGCCCAGGGAAACUUGGAUUAAUGCCCCGUAGUACCGUAUUUCGGCAUCGUUAUACGGUUAAAGCCUUCGGGCGGUACAAGAUGGCCAUGCGUCCCAUUAGCUUGUUGGUAAGGUAACGGCUUACCAAGGCUACGAUGGGUAGGGGCCCUGAGAGGGGGAUCCCCCACACUGGUACUGAGACACGGACCAGACUCCUACGGGAGGCAGCAGUGAGGAAUAUUGGACAAUGGAGGAGACUCUGAUCCAGCCAUGCCGCGUGCAGGAAGAAUGCCCUAUGGGUAGUAAACUGCUUUUAUACGGGAAGAAAAAGAGCUACGUGUAGCUUACUGACGGUACCGUAAGAAUAAGGACCGGCUAACUCCGUGCCAGCAGCCGCGGUAAUACGGAGGGUCCGAGCGUUAUCCGGAAUUAUUGGGUUUAAAGGGUCCGUAGGCGGGCCGAUAAGUCAGGGGUGAAAGUCUGCCGCUCAACGGUAGAACUGCCUUUGAUACUGUCGGUCUUGAGUUAUAGUGAAGUUGCCGGAAUAUGUAGUGUAGCG
rnacentral:rRNA from 1 species